rnacentral:rRNA from 1 species
UACGGGGGGAGCAAGCGUUGUUCGGAUUUACUGGGCGUAAAGCGCGUGUAGGCGGUCGUGCAAGUCGGGUGUGAAAGCCCUGGGCUCAACCCAGGAAGUGCAUUCGAUACUGCGCGACUGGAGUCCCGGAGAGGAUGGUGGAACUCUCGGUGUAGAGGUGAAAUUCGUAGAUAUCGAGAAGAACACCGGUGGCGAAGGCGGCCAUCUGGACGGUGACUGACGCUGAGGCGCGAAAGCUAGGGGAGCAAACAGG